GGAUUUAUACUUUAUGAACUUUGGAAAUAUAAAAUCUAGUGAGCAAUACUAAGUAAUGAAAAAGAGAAGCUAAUAAGACAACUUAAAAUAUUUAAAAAAAACACAAAUGGACAAGUUUUACUAAAGUCUUAUCUUUUAAUUAAUUUUAGUGUUAGGUAUAUUAUGUACCUGAAAAUGGGGAAUGAAGCAUUUUAUGAAUAAUGUAAAAAAUAAGACAAGUGGAGUAUGAAAUUAUGGUUGGUUAAGUAACAUUACCUCAUGAACAGGAAACAGUAACUGAAACUAUGUUUUUCCACAUUUAAUCUUAAUAAGUUCAGCAGUUUGAAUGUCAAUGAGAUAUUAUUAUAAACAAACUGGAUUUGUAGAUUUUGGGAAGAAUUAUAUCUUUAAAAUACCUAACUAUUAUUAUUUACAAUUGUUGUGUUAAGGAAACAAUCAGGAUGUAUUCAUAGUAACUGUAGGUAUCAUAGUAAUUUUAUGAAAUCAUCACAACAUCUAACGUUAGGUUUUAUGAAUUGACCAAUUUUUUGUAUAUAACAGCACACAAACCAGAUACCUAUUGACUGCUGCAAAUUAACACUUACAUUUAUUAGUUAAUUAUCUACAUAUAAAAAUAUGAAUAAUUGAAUACAUCUACAUUAGGUAGUAAUGCAUUGAAUUUGGUGCACCUGUGUGUGUUCAGUAGUAAUGUUUGUAUUGUUUAAUAAGUUGUAACAUAUGUUUAUUUUUCUAUGUAGACUGCAUUAUGUUAAGGAAGAUAUUUGGUGCCUUAUUUUAAUAAAAAAUAACCAUAACUGAAACAUUUUUAUUUUGCUACCUGUUUGUUUAAUAUUCCUAACUAUUAGUAGGUACGGGUCAUUCAUGUAUGCAUUAUAUGUAUAUUCUUGUAAAAUAAACUAAUAUUGUGAACCACUUUAAUUGCUUUUCCUACUAAAGAAGACAGGUAAAUUACCAAAAAUAAAACUGACAAAUACAUAACA